AUUGAACGCUGGCGGCAGGCCUAACACAUGCAAGUCGAGCGGCAGCGGGACCUUCGGGUUGCCGGCGAGCGGCGGACGGGUGAGUAAUGCCUAGGAAUCUGCCUGUUAGUGGGGGAUAACGCGGGGAAACUCGCGCUAAUACCGCAUACGUCCUACGGGAGAAAGCGGGGGCUCUUCGGACCUAGCGCUAACAGAUGAGCCUAGGGCGGAUUAGCGAGUUGGUGGGGUAAUGGCCCACCAAGGCGACGAUCCGUAACUGGUCUGAGAGGAUGAUCAGUCACACUGGAACUGAGACACGGUCCAGACUCCUACGGGAGGCAGCAGUGGGGAAUAUUGGACAAUGGGCGAAAGCCUGAUCCAGCCAUGCCGCGUGUGUGAAGAAGGUCUUCGGAUUGUAAAGCACUUUAAGUCGGGAGGAAGGGCUGUAGGCUAAUACCUUGCAGUUUUGACGUUACCGACAGAAUAAGCACCGGCUAACUUCGUGCCAGCCGCCGCGGUAA
rnacentral:rRNA from 1 species